UCUACCGCCCUAGGAAUUGCAACAAAAAGCAUAAAAAAAGUGUUUUUCUAGUCUCGAUUUCUACCUAAAUGUUGUUAUUUACAAUUAUUCGUAUUGAAAAAGUACUUAAUAUAGUUUUAUGCAGGGAUUCUUAGCUAUCGUUAGCAUUUUAACAGGCCGCCCCCCUCAGCCGUGUUGAAAAGUACCUUCGGGCUUCGCUUCGGCCAUUUUGACCAUGCACCAUAUUUUUUAUUCGGUCUGCCAUGUGGACUGUUUUCCGAAUUGGUACCUAGUACACCACAUACACAUAGUACACGGCAAAACUAUGUUAUGACGAUUCAAAAAUGUUCCUUGAAGAAGUCAUAUUGAAUGAAUGUUUGAUUUGACAUUUUCCAAUGAAAAAUACAGGCAGAGUUGCUGGUUUUGAGGUGAUUGCCAAGGCUCGGUGGCUUCAUUUUUAUUUGUGCUUGUGAAGAAUAAAAGUGUAAGUUAUUCGGCGCACAGUUUGGAAAUCCCUGCUAUAGACCAUUCUUGCAUAUGGCGACAUCUGUUGGCUGGAUUGAGUAAAUAAGUUCGUGACAUGAAAAUACAGUUGCACAUUGAAGCUCGUCAGAACACAGCGGGGUGUUGGUUGGCAGCAAGCCGAUGCAACUCACGGCUUCUUCCCAGAGACUCUAUGCAACAUUCCAACUAAAGGACCAGCUAUGUGCGAGACGGACUCGCGCACCGAGGGCUCCGAGCUAACCUAAUGUAUCUUAUGUUGUUACUUUUAAUUUGUUUUUUGCAAUUAUUCCUAGAAAAUCUAUUGUGUCACGACACGAUCGGGCCGCUCGGGGCGCAAUGGGUUAAAUAGUCUAUAGUAGAGCCACUUUAAUAGGCAACAUUUGACAGUUCAACAAAAUUCAACAACGUAACCUAGUAACGACGACAUAGAAUAACAUGAUAUUUCGUUUUGUUAGA